GAGAGAGAGAGAUACAGAGUGUUCCACCGACGCAGCUGAAGCAGACCAGGAACAGCUCAGCAGCCGUGUCCUAACUGCAGAUUCGUCUACUGCUAAACAACUAAUUGCUUUCAGAGUGAGGCAGGCAGUUCCCCACCUGCUCGCUUUUGAGCUGUAAGCUGUUGCAUUUCAUUGCACUGCUGUGGCCUGUGGGG